rnacentral:rRNA from 1 species
GACGAACGCUGGCGGCGUGCUUAACACAUGCAAGUCGAACGGAAAGGCCCCUUUGGGGGUACUCGAGUGGCGAACGGGUGAGUAACACGUGAGUAACCUGCCCUUGACUUCGGGAUAACUUCAGGAAACUGGGGCUAAUACCGGAUAGGAAUCCUUGCUGCAUGGGGGGGGUUGGAAAGCUUCGGCGGUUUUGGCUGGACUCGCGGCUUAUCAGCUUGUUGGUGGGGUAGUGGCUUACCAAGGCUUUGACGGGUAGCCGGCCUGAGAGGGCGACCGGCCACAUUGGGACUGAGAUACGGCCCAGACUCCUACGGGAGGCAGCAGUGGGGAAUAUUGCACAAUGGGCGGAAGCCUGAUGCAGCAACGCCGCGUGCGGGAUGACGGCCUUCGGGUUGUAAACCGCUUUCAGCAGGGGCGAAGCUUGUGGUGACGGUACCUGCAGAAGAAGCACCGGCUAACUACGUG